rnacentral:rRNA from 1 species
UGGGGAAUAUUGGGCAAUGGGGGAAACCCUGACCCAGCGACGCCGCGUGGAGGAUGACGGCCUUCGGGUUGUAAACUCCUGUCAGGUGGGAAGAAAAGCUUGUCGGCUAAUACCCGGCAGGAAUUGACGGUACCACCAAAGGAAGCCCCGGCUAACUCCGUGCCAGCAGCCGCGGUAAUACGGAGGGGGCAAGCGUUAUUCGGAUUUACUGGGCGUAAAGCGCACGUAGGUGGCAUGAUAAGUCAAAGGUGAAAGCCCUCGGCUCAACCGUGGAAGUGCAUUUGAAACUGUCAGGCUUGAGUAUCGGAGGGGAGUGUGGAAUUCCCGGUGUAGAGGUGAAAUUCGUAGAGAUCGGGAGGAACACCGGUGGCGAAGGCGACACUCUGGACGAAUACUGACGCUGAGGCGCGAAAGCGUGGGGAGCAAACAGGAUUAGAUACCCUGGUAGUCCACGCCGUAAACGAUGGGUACUAGGUGUUGCGGGUAUUGACCCCUGCAGUGCCAAAGCUAACGCAUUAAGUACCCCGCCUGGGGAGUACGGCCGCAAGGCUAAAACUCAAAGGAA